CACUCUUUUGAUUCGAGCGUUGAGUUAUUGUUUCCCUGUGGACUGUACUGUUUGAGUUGUGACUGCUGUUGUUGAUCUUUGGAUUUUGAACCAGGGAACUCAGCCAAGUCUGUAAGGAUAUUCUGUCUCUUAGCAGCCAGCCUGGGAUCUAUUGAUUCUUGUCAAAGAGAGAGUAACUUCUGGACUGCUACAGGUUGCAGACAUCAUGAGAUUUUCUCAGAAACUUGAACUGCUUGAACUGUUGCCAGUGGUCAAAGACCAGCUGGAUGUUCAGGAACUGAAACCCUAUGUAGUUCCUGGAGAAGCCAGGCUUCUUGAUAGCUGAUGGCCAUAUGUAUGCAAUAACUGUAAAUCUCAUAACUCUGCCUCGAUGACUCCUAGGAGCAAUAAGAACUCCAAGAAGUUCAUAAUAUGCAAAAGUAGUGCUCUGUCCUCUGCACUGGAGAAAGGCACCGUAACUUGAUGUUUCAUAAUCAGCCUGAAAUUACCUUGCUACAUAGAAAUUGAAGCCAACAGUGACCCUAGCUACCACAGCAAAACUAUUCCUGUCCUGCCAGUGGGUUGCAGCUCCUGCUGUAACAUUCAUGAGAGGAGCAAUCUGCUCUUGCACCACUCUUCGCUUAGGUUCAAGUAGGCCAGCACAUUCAUUUACCAAAAGAACACUUCCCCUCUUGCUGGACUCUUCAUCAGAGCCACAUUGUAAUCCUUGAAGCUCUCUAAUAUGCUCUUGUUGUUCCUAUUGUUCCAUUUCUUCCUACAGCCAGCAAAGUCUGCCCUGUAUGAAUAAUGCAAGCAUAUCCUUGUGCUAAAAGAAUAAUGGAGACAACACUAUUGCCAUAGGAUAAAACCUCAGUUUGAGCCACAAAAUAUCUUUGGAAGACUUCCUAGAACUUCCAGGAGAUCUGAUUAUUUGCAGUGUCCUGGUGGUUCUAACUCCAUUCGUCUGACAGAAAUUUUCCAAAGAGGGCUCGGUAAAGGAAGAUUUGGAAAUAUGUGACUUUCCAAUUAUUGGGCACUUUGUCAAUGUUCUACUUACUUUUGGUUCUACCACUCAUGUACACACAAUUUACAGUGACUAAUUAUCCUACCAACUCUCCUGUCUCUGUGAAGUGGGAAGAAAUUAGACUGCCUGGAGGAAACCCAAGAGGUCACAGGAAACAUGUGCAAACUCCUCACAGACACCAUUGGAGGUCAAGAUUGAAUCUUGUUUACUGGAGCUGUGAGGCAGCAGCUCUACCCAGCUGUGCCACUGUGUUGCCCUUGUGAUUUUCAGAUAAAUCACAGAUUAAUGUGCUGAGGUCUCUCCACAGCAGAUAAAUGUUGGGAAUGAAGGGACUGCAAUGCAAUAUUGAUGCUCAUCAGAUGUCUGCACCUUGAAUUUCAGACUUCCAAUCCAGUAGUGCCUGUCCUGCUGAUAUUGUAGAAUAGUUGCUUGAAAUGAAUCAUAAACUGUUUUAUUCUGGGGUGAUGUACUACCAUAACCUUAUUGUAGACAUUUCUCCUCCUCUUCACUUUCAGUGUAAUCAGCAGAACUCCUGAGCUUUUGGCCUCAGGUAAUCUGCCCUUUCAUUACCAGGUCAGACAUGUUGCAAUUUCAUGUCAAACAACAAACUGAAAUUGUCUCUGCACUGCAAGCACAUAUAUUGGUACAAAGAUUGCAUUAUUGACUUUGAGAGGUAUGGGUAGCAGGAAUGAUACAGAUUACAAACUCAUUUGAAAAAUACGAAGUAUAUUUCUCUUAAUUAUGUAUCUAUGAUAAAAUAGAUUACAUGUUUGAAAAUAAUAUCUGACCCUAACUAAAAUUCUGAGAAAUAAAAUGAUUGUUGAAAUAUUUAACAUUAUUUUACAUGUUCUACAACAUCCAGAGAAGUUCAUUUUUUGUAUUUAUUACUUUCAUUAGUUGGAUGUUCUUCUUCUUUGUUUUCCCCUGAUUAUAUCAUUGCAUACAAUGUGUUACAUUCCCAAAUGUAUGUUUGAAAGGCAGAGGAGAGAAGGGUAAGGAUGAGAAUUAUGCGGGUAGGGAAUUCAAUCAGGAUGAUUUUGUAGCUAUUAGAAAUAUGAUCAGCUUACCUUAGACACUACAAUUGCAAAUGCAGUGACUUUUAUUAAAAAAACUGCAGCUGAAGCAAUGUAAUAAUUUCAUUCCUAUCAACCAAAGUCCCAACAAGAACUUACUAAUAGCAUCAAAAUCCCAACAGCUUAAGCACAGCUUGGAAAUGAAAGCAAUUGAUUCCACAGAAAUAUUUAUACAAGUGGUAGGUUUAUACAACAGUCAUGCUUUAGCAUUUUUGACCAAUUGUAUUUCUUCAGGAUGGAAACCAGACUCCUGGAGCUGGGAGCUGUUGUUGCCACUCUGCCAUCCCAUUCAUACCAGUUUUAGGCUAAUGGCCCAACUUUGCUCAGAAUUGGAUGAAGACAGCCUAUGCAUUUUCAUGUAGGACCCAUUACAGUUGAUAAACAGCUAAUGUUUAUCCUGCAUGUUUGGGCUAGAUUUGACUCAAGGUGCCAGAGAUUUAAAAAUUGCACCAGCCAAUUCCUCGAUCUUUAAUCUUCUGAUUAUAACGGCAAUAAAAUGAAGGCCUUGUGUGAUAUCAUUGCAUACAAAUGGAUUACAACCUCUGAUUUUUUUUUCCCCCUCAAAGAAGACAUUUCACAAUAGCAAAUGCAUCAAUAAUUCUCUGGUUGUGUCAUCUGUCUGAAGGUUGGACUAAUGCCAAUGCACUUACGGCUUUACUCUUUGCUUACUGUAUCCCCGAUGUAUAUUAGUUCAACCACAAAUAAUAUGGCUACUUCAGGCAGAAUUGUUUUGAAAUUGGAAUUUAGAGUGAUUCAAUGGCAUUUAAAUUAUUACAACCUAUUGUUGUGUUCCCCCAUCAUAACUGAUGCAUGACUAUGUCAGCCACAAAGAAUGUUAUGCAUUGGUGCACAAUUUUAAUCAGGCAUUUUAAGACUAGCUGACCACCAUGAAAAUAUGAACAAAUGAGGGAAAUGGCAGUCUUGUUUGUGAUUAAUCAAAAUUUAACUUCACUUUUCUCUGUACAGAAUAUCAAGAUGUGGCAAAAUAAACAUUCGACUCUAAGCUAGUUCAAGUUUGGCGUACGUUUCAGAAUUACUUCUAGUUACAGUAAAUGUGAUUGUUGGGGUGUGGGAAGGAAACAAUGUGGCAAUUGUCCAAUUGGUCAUAUCCAAUGGUUCAAACAUUCUUACUACAAUUUGCUGACACCAUUCCCAUAGUUAUAAAAAAAGAUUGGGGUUCCCAUCAAAACUCAACUAAUCAGCUGACUUCUCAGCAGUACAUCCUGUAAAAUGUUCCUUGGUCUGGAAUUUGCAUAAUGAAUUUGCUGGGGUCAUAAUGUCACUUGCUCCCAUCCCCCCCUCAAGGUUCAAGUAAAAACACAUUAGGCCACAAAGUUGGGACGGAAAUGAUUGGCAUUUUCUUUGUUCCUUUUAUUUAAGCAACGGUUUGUGUUCGGUUAGGCAAGAUUAACAGUAACUGCUCUUCGAACUUGAGAGGAAAAGCAAUUUAACUGAGUCUGCCAAUUUAGGGUCAACACAGUGCUAUACUUCCCUAUUUCAGAUUUAGAUAUUUUAAAGUUGAUUUUAACAAAGAAUUAGACUAUCAUAUAUUUUGUAAUGGUUUAAGAUGAGACUAAGUGACUGCAUUAGUAUCUGAUGUCAGGUGGCACUCAAUUGUUUAUCAGUUUAGAAUGUUGGUCUUUGCUAAUCUCAGCUGAGGCAGCAGUGAAGCUGAUAUUGAACUGAGGGCCAUGGACUCUAAGAAAGGAAAACCAGACAGGGCUACAGCAAAAAUUGAAUAGUUCUUUACAAGAAUCAGCAUGGGCAUUUUGAGCUGAAUGGCCUCUGCCAUAUGAUUCAAUGAUUCUUGCUUAUAAUUGAAUUCUGGCUCCAUCUCCUAAGAUGUCUGUAAACUGAAGUCCUGUUUUACUUGUGUGAUUCAGUGUCACCUGAAGAGUGGAGAGUAAACUGGGAGGUGGGGGGUGGGGGGGCAGUAAACAUUAUUGAGCCAGACAUUCAUCUCUCCAGCUUAGAAAUUAGAUCAACUGUGACUGCCAUAGCUCUGAGGGGACUUGGAGCAAUAAAGAACGGGUGACAAUGGGAGGUUUGGUUUGGAGAUUAUGGAAUCCCUGUGGGUGUUAAUGUGGAAGGUAAUAGAAACAAUCAGCGAAGGAAUAGAAAUAUUUUUAGGAAUCCCUUGCCUGACUCUUCAGUCUGAAUGAUAACCAUUCUUAUUCUCAUAUGCAGGAUGCUGCUAAUUCAACCAUCUGAGAAGUACUUUGUUCCUCCAAACUCAGGCAUAUUGCAUCCUAUCUUAGCCACUUUAUAAAAGAUCUGUGAUAUCUAUUCAUCUGUGGACUUAUUACAACCACACAAGAUACUGGGCAAAAUCCGGUGGUUAAAAUAAGCAAGGAAGGAAAAAGGGAGAAAUAAUCAUUACUGAUUUGAAUUAGGAAAUAAAAAAAAAUGUAGGCCUUUCCUUCAAAAUGUUAAUUAUACUUAUAGAUAAUAAUUUGGUAUAUAAUAAGAAAUUAUAUUGUCGUGAUCUAUCUUUUAUGAACAAAUGUGUAUACCAUGACAUUUUAGAACUGUUGAUCUUGUGAAAGCAUAAUUUCCCUUUGCACAAUUUAGAACUAAAACUGGCUUAAAUCAUUCUCAUGAAUUUUGAGUUAUGCAAGUCUCAUAUUUUCACUUUUCACAAACAGUGUAAAAUGAGCUCAUCUGUAAUUCCUAAAACCGUGUGUGCUUUUCACAACCUUUCCCAACACAUCCCAUUCAAUAAACACAUAGGUGAGCAACAUAGAUUUCUUUUUCCUUAGUGUAACAGAAAUUGCAAUUCAAACAGAGCAGAAACAUAUAGUCAAGGACAUUUUUGUGAAAUAGACAGCUAUUGAUUGGUGACAACCAAUGUAAAUUAUGCUGAUUGCUAAUAAUAAAACCUUGCUGCUGCUGAAUACCAUUAUAUUUCAAAGCCGUGUGUUUUUUCAUAUCUUGCCAUUCUUC